rnacentral:rRNA from 1 species
CACGUAGGGUGCGAGCGUUAAUCGGAAUUACUGGGCGUAAAGCGCACGUAGGCGGCUUGGUAUGUCGGGUGUGAAAUCCCCGGGCUCAACCUGGGAACUGCAUCCGAAACUGCCUUGCUCGAGUAUGGGAGAGGGAAGUGGAAUUUCCGGUGUAGCGGUGAAAUGCGUAGAUAUCGGAAGGAACAUCAGUGGCGAAGGCGACUUCCUGGACCAAUACUGACGCUCAGGUGCGAAAGCGUGGGGAGCAAACAGG